CCCAGGAGUAGAUAUCCGUGUCAGCUGCUCACCUUCCCGAUCCGGGCUUUGCUCACCACCCCAAACCACUCCAGCUCCACAAGGAAGUUGUCCUUCGGUUCACGCUGCAGCAGCCGGUCCCCUCAGCCGCAGCCCCGCCGCGGGUCACCCAGCCACUUUUCCAUGACACUUUUCGCUCUCCUCUUUGCCUCUUCUAUGUUCGCUGCUGCGGCACCUCCCCCCGCGUAGCCGGAUUGGUUCAGUCCAGCUGACGCUACGAACUGGAG